rnacentral:rRNA from 1 species
GACGAACGCUGGCGGCGUGCCUAAUACAUGCAAGUUGAGCGCUGAAGGUUGGUACUUGUACCAACUGGAUGAGCAGCGAACGGGUGAGUAACGCGUGGGGAAUCUGCCUUUGAGCGGGGGACAACAUUUGGAAACGAAUGCUAAUACCGCAUAAAAGCUUUAAACACAAGUUUUAAGUUUGAAAGAUGCAAUUGCAUCACUCAAAGAUGAUCCCGCGUUGUAUUAGCUAGUUGGUGAGGUAAAGGCUCACCAAGGCGAUGAUACAUAGCCGACCUGAGAGGGUGAUAGGCCACAUUGGGACUGAGACACGGCCCAAACUCCUACGGGAGGCAGCAGUAGGGAAUCUUCGGCAAUGGACGAAAGUCUGACCGAGCAACGCCGCGUGAGUGAAGAAGGUUUUCGGAUCGUAAAACUCUGUUGGUAGAGAAGAACGUUGGUGAGAGUGGAAAGCUCAUCAAGUGACGGUAACUACCCAGAAAGGGACGGCUAACUACGUG